rnacentral:tRNA from 1 species
UGCCCAUUGGCCCAGUGGUCAAGGCGUCUGACUGUUAUUCUCCUUUGCAAAGGGUUAACAGAAAAAUCAGAAGAUCCCUGGUUCGACCCCAGGAUGGGCAG